AGAUUGAACGCUGGCGGCAUGCCUUACACAUGCAAGUCGAACGGCAGCACGGGAGCAAUCCUGGUGGCGAGUGGCGAACGGGUGAGUAAUAUAUCGGAACGUGCCCAGUCGUGGGGGAUAACGCAGUGAAAGCUGUGCUAAUACCGCAUACGAUCUAUGGAUGAAAGCGGGGGACUCGCAAGAGCCUCGCGCGAUUGGAGCGGCCGAUAUCAGAUUAGCUAGUUGGUGGGUAAAAGCCCACAAGGCGACGAUCUGUAGCUGGUCUGAGAGGACGACCAGCCACACUAGAACUGAGACACGGUCCAGACUCCUACGGGAGGCAGCAGUGGGAAUUUUGGACAAGUGGGCGCGAAGCCUAGGAUCCAGCAAUGCCGCGUGCGAGGAUGAAGGCCUUCGGUUGUAAAC
rnacentral:rRNA from 1 species